UACGUAGGGUGCGAGCGUUGUCCGGAUUUACUGGGCGUAAAGCGCACGUAGGCGGAUUUGUAAGUCAGGGGUGAAAUCCCGGGGCUCAACCUCGGAACUGCCUUUGAUACUGCAAAUCUCGAGUCCGGAAGAGGUGAGUGGAAUUCCUAGUGUAGAGGUGAAAUUCGUAGAUAUUAGGAAGAACACCAGUGGCGAAGGCGGCUCACUGGUCCGGUACUGACGCUGAGGUGCGAAAGCGUGGGGAGCAAACAGG
rnacentral:rRNA from 1 species